rnacentral:rRNA from 1 species
AUUGAACGCUGGCGGCAGGCCUAACACAUGCAAGUCGAACGGUAGCACAGAGAGCUUGCUCUCGGGUGACGAGUGGCGGACGGGUGAGUAACGUCUGGGAAACUGCCCGAUGGAGGGGGAUAACUACUGGAAACGGCAGCUAAUACCGCAUAACGUCGCAAGACCAAAGUGGGGGACCUUCGGGCCUCACACCAUCGGAUGUGCCCAGAUGGGGUUAGCUAGUAGGUGGGGUAAUGGCUCACCUAGGCGACGAUCCCUAGCUGGUCUGAGAGGAUGACCAGCCACACUGGAACUGAGACACGGUCCAGACUCCUACGGGAGGCAGCAGUGGGGAAUAUUGCACAAUGGGCGCAAGCCUGAUGCAGCCAUGCCGCGUGUAUGAAGAAGGCCUUCGGGUUGUAAAGUACUUUCAGCGGGGAGGAAGGCGGUGAAGUUAAUAGCUUCACCGAUUGACGUUACCCGCAGAAGAAGCACCGGCUAACUCCGUGCCAGCCGCCGCCGUAA